CUACGGGUGGCUGCAGUGGGGAAUAUUGCACAAUGGACGAAAGUCUGAUGCAGCAACGCCGCGUGGAGGAUGACACAUUUCGGUGCGUAAACUCCUUUUAUAUAGGAAGAUAAUGACGGUACUAUAUGAAUAAGCACCGGCUAACUCCGUGCCAGCAGCCGCGGUAAUACGGAGGGUGCAAGCGUUACUCGGAAUCACUGGGCGUAAAGAGCGUGUAGGCGGGUAGUUAAGUCAGAAGUGAAAUCCAAUAGCUCAACUAUUGAACUGCUUUUGAAACUGAUUACCUAGAAUAUGGGAGAGGUAGAUGGAAUUUCUGGUGUAGGGGUAAAAUCCGUAGAGAUCAGAAGGAAUACCGAUUGCGAAGGCGAUCUACUGGAACAUUAUUGACGCUGAGACGCGAAAGCGUGGGGAGCAAACAGGAUUAGAUACCCGUGUAGUC
rnacentral:rRNA from 1 species